CGAAUGCUGACAUAAGUAACGAUAAAGCGGGUGAAAAGCCCGCUCGCCGGAAGACCAAGGGUUCCUGUCCAACGUUAAUCGGGGCAGGGUGAGUCGACCCCUAAGGCGAGGCCGAAAGGCGUAGUCGAUGGGAAACAGGUUAAUAUUCCUGUACUUGGUGUUACUGCGAAGGGGGGACGGAGAAGGCUAUGUUGGCCGGGCGACGGUUGUCCCGGUUUAAGCGUGUAGGCUGGUUUUCCAGGCAAAUCCGGAAAAUCAAGGCUGAGGCGUGAUGACGAGGCACUACGGUGCUGAAGCAACAAAUGCCCUGCUUCCAGGAAAAGCCUCUAAGCAUCAGGUAACAUCAAAUCGUACCCCAAACCGACACAGGUGGUCAGGUAGAGAAUACCAAGGCGCUUGAGAGAACUCGGGUGAAGGAACUAGGCAAAAUGGUGCCGUAACUUCGGGAGAAGGCACGCUGAUAUGUAGGUGAAGC
rnacentral:rRNA from 1 species